UACGAAGGGGGCUAGCGUUGCUCGGAAUCACUGGGCGUAAAGGGUGCGUAGGCGGGUCUUUAAGUCAGGGGUGAAAUCCUGGAGCUCAACUCCGGAACUGCCUUUGAUACUGGCGAUCUUGAGAUCGGAAGAGGUGAGUGGAAUUCCCAGUGUAGAGGUGAAAUUCGUAGAUAUUGGGAAGAACACCAGUGGCGAAGGCGGCUCACUGGUCCGAUACUGACGCUGAGGUGCGAAAGCGUGGGGAGCAAACAGG
rnacentral:rRNA from 1 species